GUGGGGAAUCUUCCGCAAUGGACGAAAGUCUGACGGAGCAACGCCGCGUGAGUGAUGAAGGCCUUCGGGUCGUAAAGCUCUGUCAUCGGGGACGAAUGGUCGUUGGAGUGGAAAGCCAGCGAAAUGACGGUACCCGAGAAGGAAGCCACGGCUAACUACGUGCCAGCAGCCGCGGUAAUACGUAGGUGGCAAGCGUUGUCCGGAAUUAUUGGGCGUAAAGCGCGCGCAGGUGGGAUCUUAAGUCCAUUUUGAAAGUUCGGAGCUCAACUCCGUGAUGGGAUGGAAACUGGGAUUCUUGAGUACCGGAGAGGAAAGCGGAAUUCCCCGUGUAGCGGUGAAAUGCGUAGAUAUGGGGAGGAACACCAGUGGCGAAGGCGGCUUUCUGGACGGUGUCUGACACUGAGGCGCGAAAGCUAGGGGAGCGAACGGGAUUAGAAACCCCUGUAGUCC
rnacentral:rRNA from 1 species